rnacentral:rRNA from 1 species
AGAGUUUGAUCCUGGCUCAGAUUGAACGCUGGCGGCAUGCUUAACACAUGCAAGUCGAACGGAAACGACGAGAGCUUGCUCUUGGGCGUCGAGUGGCGGACGGGUGAGUAACGCGUGGGAAUCUACCCAGUAGUGGAGGAUAGCCAGGAGAAAUCCUGAUUAAUACUGCAUACGAUCUACGGAUGAAAGGUGGCCUCUACUUGUAAGCUAUCGCUAUUGGAUGAGCCCGCGUUAGAUUAGCUAGUUGGUGGGGUAAGAGCCUACCAAGGCGACGAUCUAUAGCUGGUCUGAGAGGAUGAUCAGCCACAUCGGGACUGAGACACGGCCCGGACUCCUACGGGAGGCAGCAGUGGGGAAUAUUGGACAAUGGGCGCAAGCCUGAUCCAGCAAUGCCGCGUGUGUGAAGAAGGCCUUAGGGUUGUAAAGCACUUUCAAUUGUGAAGAAGGGGUUAAGGUUAAUACCCUUGACUCUUGACGUUAACUUUAGAAGAAGCACCGGCUAACUCUGUGCCAGCAGCCGCGGUAAUACAGAGGGUGCAAGCGUUAAUCGGAAUUACUGGGCGUAAAGCGCGCGUAGGCGGUUAGAUAAGUCAGAUGUGAAAUCCCCGGGCUCAACCUGGGAACUGCACCUGAUACUGUUUGACUAGAGUUUGGGAGAGGGAAGUAGAAUUUCAGGUGUAGCGGUGAAAUGCAUAGAGAUCUGAAGGAAUACCAGUGGCGAAGGCGACUUCCUGGCCUAAAACUGACGCUGAGGUGCGAAAGCGUGGGUAGCAAACGGGAUUAGAUACCCCGGUAGUCCACGCCGUAAACGAUGUCAACUAGUCGUUGGUCUCCUUGAGGGAUCAGUGACGCAGCUAACGCAUUAAGUUGACCGCCUGGGGAGUACGGUCGCAAGACUAAAACUCAAAGGAAUUGACGGGGGCCCGCACAAGCGGUGGAGCAUGUGGUUUAAUUCGAUGCAACGCGAAGAACCUUACCAUCCCUUGACAUCCGGAGAAUUUGCAAGAGAUUGCUUAGUGCCUUCGGGAACUCCGUGACAGGUGCUGCACGGCUGUCGUCAGCUCGUGUCGUGAGAUGUUGGGUUAAGUCCCGCAGCAAGCGCAACUCCUAUCCUUGGUUGCUAACAGGUUAAGCUGAGAACUCCAGGGAGACUGCCGGUGACAAGCCGGAGGAAGGUGGGGACGACGUCAAGUCAUCAUGGCCCUUAUGGGAUGGGCUACACACGUGCUACAAUGGCCAGUACAGAGGGUCGCGAACUCGCGAGAGUAAGCUAAUCCCAGAAAGCUGGUCGUAGUCCGGAUUGGAGUCUGCAACUCGACUCCAUGAAGUUGGAAUCGCUAGUAAUCGUGGAUCAGAAUGCCACGGUGAAUACGUUCCCGGGCCUUGUACACACCGCCCGUCACACCAUGGGAGUGGGCUGCAAAAGAAGUGGGUAGACUAACCUUCGGGAUGUCGCUCACCACUUUGUGGUUCAUGACUGGGGUGAAGUCGAACAAGGUA